AGUGAACGCUGGCGGUAGGCCUACACAAGCCAAUUCGACCGCAGCCAAGUAAGAGCUUGCUCUUUCGGGUGGCGGGUGGGGGACGGGUGAGGGAAACAUCGGAAUCUACUUUUUUGUGGGGGAUAAAGUUGGGAAAAUUACGCUUAUACCCCAUAAGACCUACCGGUGAAAGCAGGGGAUUUUCGGACCUUGCGCGAUUGAAUGAGCCGAUGUCGGAUUUGCUAGUUGGCGGGGUAAAGGCCCACCAAGGCGACGGUCCCUAGCUGGUCUGAGAGGAUGAUCAGCCACACUGGAACUGAGACACGGUCCAGACUCCUACGGGAGGCAGCAGUGGGGAAUAUUGGACAAUGGGCGCAAGCCUGAUCCAGCCAUACCGCGUGGGUGAAGAAGGCCUUCGGGUUGUAAAGCCCUUUUGUUGGGAAAGAAAAGCAGCAGGUUAAUACCCCGCUGUUCUGACGGUACCCAAAGAAUAAGCACCGGCUAACUUCGU
rnacentral:rRNA from 1 species